rnacentral:lncRNA from 1 species
UUAAUAACCCGAUGACCUGUGGUAAUCCCACCGGAGGAGGAGGUUCAGCGUCAGCGGCGGGGUUCCUCAUCGGUCAACGGCAGCCUUUGUCUCCUCUUCCUCCGUUCCCGGCUGUGCAUGCGGCGGCGGAGUCUCCGAUCUCCGCUUACAUGCGGUUUCUCCAGAGCUCGGUCUCCUCGGCUGCUUCUCCCAAGUGGAACAACCUUCCGCCGCCGCAGAUGCCGCCGCCGCCACCGGCGCUGCAUCAGCAGCAGCAGAACAUUCCUCCGCCGCCGCAGGGUUUUCCUCAGUUCCCGGUGCUUC